GGGAGUGGAGGGAGGGAGAGAGGAAAGGAGGAUAGCAGAUUAACCCUUCCUCUGCAGGGCCAGAGGAGGAGCAGUGGGGACAGGACAAGUCUACCUGGGCUUUGCCAUUCCUUAAUCAUCCCAGGGCCCUGCCUCCCAUUUCCCCUUCUCAUUUGUAGGGACUCUGGAGUGUGGGGGAUGGGAGGCAGAGUGCCAGGUUUUAGCAGAACUGACUGUUGUGCAACCUUUGGCCUUAGCUUUGCUGCCAGAGACACAGAGGUCCCAGAAGAAGAGAAGCCUUGAGGUCUGGCUCCUCUCCAGCCUUAUGCCGCUGCCCUCAGACUGGCCUCAAACUGUUUUGCCUGAACAACAGCCUCCCAGUGGGCUUCCUUGCCCCCCUGCCUCCCUGCCCUUUCUCCCUACCUUCAGUCCAUGGUACGUGACUCUGACCAUUCUUCUGUUUAAAGAUCUCUCACUCCCUGGCACCUCCUGGUAAAAUCCACUCCCCUGCGUGGACCUACAAAGCUGAACGUCAUGUACCCUCCUGUCUCACUUCUUCCUGCUGCUCUGUCCCUUCACCCCAGCCCUAUGUCCAGGCACUGUGACUCUCCCUAGACACACUAUGCUUUCCCCAGACUCUGUCUGGAAAGUACCUACUCAUUUUUCUUUUUCAAAACACAGGGUCUUGCUAUGUUGCCCAGGCUGGCCUCAAACUCCUGAGCUCAACCCAUCCUACUUCAGCGUCCUAAGCAGCCGGGACCACAGGCAUACACCACCAUGCCUGGCUUCCUACUUGUUCUUCAAAACUCUGCUCUCACAUUUUCUCACUAAGAAGCAUUUCCUGACUCCACAGGAUACAAUCAGUGACCACCCAGGGAAUAGGCUGAAGGCCGCAGUUCUGCUCAAGGCCCUUCAGGGAUGCGUAGUAAGCAGUAGCUCCUUGAGGUAGAGCCUCUGAGAGCAAAAGACCAGGACCUUGGAAGAGGGAAAGACCAAGAACACCAGGGCAACUGGAGAUAAAUCACUUCAAGAGACCGAGAGAGAGACCCCCUACUCUCAGCUGCUGUCUUGGGGCUUCUUCCACAUAAAUUCAUGGUUUGCUUUUCUGCUUCCUGCCCCUUGGGCAAUUUCUUCCUUCCUGCCAGACCUCAGCUCUCUAAGGGCAGGGUCAUCUUGCUUUGCAUCAACACUCAGAAAGUGUUUCAGAGGUGAGUUCCAGACUUGGCUUGGGCUGGGAAGGCUUUAGCGGCCACGUGUUUCUUGACCACUAGAGGGCAUUGUCCCCCUCUUUCAUCAGUCCUGGGAGGGGGUAUAGAUUGGAUUUCAGAGGAAGGAAACUAAGGUGGGAGGAGCUUCUAGCAUGGGGUCCACGUCAAAGAGAAGGCCAUGCAGACACAGAGUGGCUUCAAAGAACAGCCAUAUACCUCUUCCCCAGCACAACAUCAAGACCCACUCUGCACUCCUAUACCCAGACACACACAUUCGCACACGCAGCCGUAUUCCUCCCUCCUCUGUCCUCGGCAGCCUCGCUCCUCUGAUGUUCUCUCUCACCCUCGCCUCGUUCAAGCAGACAAAUCCAAAGCUGUUCAGUCAUGAGGAGCUAAGGAAAGUGCUAGGGGAAAUACAUAGACCCAAGGCACACACAGAAGGCUGCGGAAGAUGUACCCACGUGCACGGGUACGCGCGCACGCGCACACACACACAGCCACUCUCAACUCCAACCCUCAGCGCCUCUUCCCCACGACCCUCCUCACUAGUCCUCGUCUUCAGCUGUAUGUGCCAACGGAGUGGUUCCUGAUUUGCUCUGUUAUCUCUUUCUGAAUUUCAAGCCCCUCUCACUUCUGUGGAGUGUUUCGUGGGGUCUUUACAUAGCCCACCAAAGAAGUGGGUAUGAGUAACUUCACCACCACUCGACAAGCAAGGAAGUGGAGCCACACAGCUGGUUUUGGUCUCAGGAUGAGCAAGUAAUGGGUUUGAGACUAGAGUUAGGGCCUCUAUCUCUAAAUUCCUUCCUGCUUUAUUCUUCAUUUGCUCGUUGACACAAUGGAGAGCAGAUAAUGGGCCCAGAUCCUGCCCUCAUGGCGCUCAUGAUCUAACUCCAUUUAAAAGCUAUAAAUAGCGUUAGGCAUAACAGCACAUGCCUGCAAACCCAGGAAGGCUGAGGCAGGAGGAUCAUGAAUUUAUGGCCAGCCUAGGCUCUAUAGUGAGUUCAAGGCCAGCCUGAGCCACACAUCUGUUUCAAUAGAUAGAUAGGUAGAUAGAUAGAUAGAUAGAUAGAUACAUAGAUAGAUAGAUAGACAGAUAGACAGAUAGAUAGAAACUUUAUUGUAAACUAUGAAAGUGCUUGGAAAGUAAUAAUAUAGUUUUAUGGAGAUGAGAGCAUGGGGACCUUACCCAGGCCAGGGAAUUAAGGAUAGUUUCUCUGAGAAGAUGAUGUUUGAAUUGCAAUCUAAAAAAUAAAAAAGGGAUAAUUAUUUAUAUGUGUGGAGGGUGGUGGGAGUUCCAGGGAGACAACAGAGUGUGUGCAAAGGCCUGAGGGGAGAGAGCAGAGAGGAGGCAGGUGUGGCUGGAGAGCUGGGUAAAGGCAGGCAGGAACCAGGUCACUCAGGACCUUGAAGGUGAAGACUCUGGUCCAACAGCAAAGGAAGACCCACCCCUCUGUGGACACCAUUUGGUGUCAAAUGGUUAAAGCUGUGUUUUGAAAAGAUAGCUCUGGUUGGAGAGUGGAGAAGGUACAGAGGCUGCCUGAGGACUUGCAAGGACCCACUGAAGCAGUCCAGGCUGGUUCUGAACUUCUGGGCUCAAACCAUCCUCCUGCCUCAGCUUCUCGACUGGCUCCACACUCGGAGAACCUGCACUCACAAGAUCCGGACCAGACCGGGGCCCACUCAGUCAUUCACUGGCUAUGUGACCUCCCCUCAAGCAAGUCAGAUAACACCUCUAAACCUCAGUUUCCUCAUUUUUCCCAAUGAAGAUAUUGAGAAUCUUCUGGAACUAUGAGGCUCACAUGAGUGAAAGUGAAGGAAAUUUGUAAAUUUCGAAGCAAGACCGAAAGCUGAUUAAUUUUGUUAGUAUGUUUUCUACAUGCAACUAGAAGUUUGUUGGCU